rnacentral:rRNA from 1 species
UUGUGCUAAUACCGGAUGUGCCCUUCGGGGGAAAGAUUUAUCGCCAUUGGAGCGGCCCGCGUAGGAUUAGCUAGUUGGUGGGGUAAUGGCCCACCAAGGCUCCGAUCCUUAGCUGGUCUGAGAGGAUGAUCAGCCACACUGGGACUGAGACACGGCCCAGACUCCUACGGGAGGCAGCAGUGGGGAAUCUUGCGCAAUGGGCGAAAGCCUGACGCAGCCAUGCCGCGUGAAUGAUGAAGGUCUUAGGAUUGUAAAAUUCUUUCACCGGGGACGAUAAUGACGGUACCCGGAGAAGAAGCCCCGG